CUCAAUACUGUUAAGAUAAACAUUUUCUGCAAAUUAAGCAAUAGAUUAAGCUCAAGGCUAUUCAAAGUUAUAGCUGACUUAAAAAUUACUAAUGCACAAGCAGACAAUAAAAUAUAUAUGGUAUAGAAAAUAACCUAGACUAGCCAAAUAAUUUUGAAGGGCAACAAAGUCUGAGAACUUAGUGUACUAUAAUGCUACAGUAGUCAUGAAGAAAAUAUACGUGUAGAUCUUCUCAAAAAAAUACAGCACAACGUGGGCAACAGUUUCUGUAUGACACAAAAUGAAUUUUACUGGAAAUGAACUUCUAAACAGAAACCAACAUCACAGCAAUGUCUUUACGCCAAAAAAAAAAAAAAAAAAAAAAAAAGAUAAAAGAGAGAUACUGGCCUGUUGAUGGAAAUGAAGGACCAAUUUUAGAGCAAUUUUAUAGUAACUUCUGGAAUUUAUUUUUAACCUUUAUUGAAAAUGAAACAACUAAUCUGGUAAUAUCAAAAUCCAUCUUCAAAGUUUCACUUGUAGUCAGUUCCAGCAAUGUGUCUUUAAAGCAUUGGAGCAAGAUGGUGGAACUCGAUAUCUCUGGGUAUCACUUCUCCCACAAAAAUACAACUAGGAACUAUUCAAGAACAAGAAUAUUUCCUUCAGUUCAACAGAACCUGCGGAGGAAGUAAAGAAAUGCCCUGAUCUCGCAAGACUGAGAGGAACCACAACAGGUAAAAAUAUUUUUUAUAUAUGUUGCUGUCAUCAGAGAGGAUCAGCAAUGCAUCAACAAUACAGAGAUAUCUAAGAGAUUGGCGUAAUAUCUGACUUCAGUAAAUGUGUCUUAUUCUUUCUCGUUUUUCUCCUCAAUGCUGUCAAUAAACAGUUUUAUAGAGCUUGAUUAUUCUAAAGUCCUUUGUUCUGUAUUUUCCUGUUUGCCCAAUGUUGAGCCAAUUCAGUGGUAAUCUGUAACUAGAAAAAUAAUUGGGAAAAGAUUAACUUUGCUAUUUAUUUCAAUUUUUUCUCUUAGAGUGAAUUAAUACUAAAAAACAGUUCUGAAUCAAAUUAAUCAAAUUUGUGAAUAUCCCAUUGCUAAUGUAUUUGGAUUUGUUUCCACAAAAAUAAGAAGAAACACCAUAUGCCAUGCAGAAAAUUAGCCAGCCAGUAGCUCAAUGUGAUAUUGCAUAAUCCAGCUAUGUGCAUUGAGUAUAUAAAUUUGAAAUAUUUCCCUAACCAAAAAGUUCUAAAUUAACUGAAAUAUUCAUUUUGGAAAGGAGAAACUGAAGGAAAAUACUCAUAUCUUAUGUUUAUCAUACUAAAAGCAAGUUUAAUUACAAUCUCAUUUAUUUAUUAAAUAAUUAUGCAUUACCUACUAUUGUCAGAAUUCUAGAAUACACACAGUUACAGAAGUGGACAAAUGAUGCAAAGCUGUUAUUUUCUUGAAGCUUGUGCAUUUUGCUGAAUAGAGAGACAAAUCUGAGUUAAAAGCGUGAAAUAUCGGAAAUGAUUAUGAAAUAUAAAAGAAAAAAUAUUACUUGAGUAUUUUAUAUGGUUAUAUGAAAGAUUUUGUAAUAAAGUGCAAUAAAUAAAAUAAAAAAUAAAGUAAAUAAAGUGCAAUAAAUAAAAUAAAUAAAGUAAAGUAGUACAAAUCCGAAGGACAUAUAAGGGUGAACUAUUUGAUGACUUGGGGAAAAAAAGCACUUCUAGCUAAGAGAACAAAACCUAUAAAAACUUUGAGGCAGGACUGUCCUUUCUAUCUUUAAGGAACAUCAAGAAAACAACGUCUGUGGAAUGAGGUUAAUGAUGCUGGGAAGAAAUUGGGUAAGAAAAGUUAUACAGGUAACUGGGGCCAAGAUCAAGUGUUAUCUUGCACAACAUUGUAUGAAUUUUAUCUUUUCUUUGAAUAAAGUGAGAAGCCAUUGGAGGGUCUCAAAUGAGGGGAGAGACAAGUGUGUGUAGUAGAUUAAGGAGGGGGUGCAUGAAGCACACUUGAGAAGCUAUUAAAUGAGGAAUGCCUGUGACUUCUUCAGUGUGGUGAUGGAGGAUAUGAGAGGCAAUAUUCCACUUUGGUAAAUAUUUCAAAAACAAACAGCAUGUGUUGGUGGUUUGAAUAAGCGAUGUGAGAGAACGAAGGAGCUCAAUAAUUGUUUUAAUGUGUGUAUGACCUGAGUAAAUAAAAGCCUGAAGGAACAAUGGAAGAAGAUGGAGAGGAAAGAAUGUCUGAAAAACGAAAGUUAAAGUAUUUAUUUUGGAUUACUUAAAUAUGGCAUGUCAGUGGUGUGCUGAACUCCUCUUGUAUUAUUUCUUGCAAGAAACUAUUCUUAAUUUUCAAAAAUUUGACAACCUAGUUCUUAAAUUCUGUCACUAUUAAAAAUUAAAUUAGAUGAUUUGCAAGUAAAUAAAUUAUAGUCAAAAUAAAUAUUCAAAGCUCAUUGCCUAUUAGUUAUUUUAAUUCAUUUUACUUUUAUCGAUGCUAUUAAGGUUCAUGCCUAUUUUUUCAUAUGGUGAUUGAUAUUGUUUGUGUCCCCACCCAAAUCUCAUCUUGAACUGUGGUUCCCAUAAUCCCUGCAUAUUGUGGGAGGAACUUGGUGGGAGGUAAUUGAAUCAUGGAGGCGGUUGCCCUCAUGCUGUUCUCAUGAUAGUGAGUUCUCAUGAGAUAUGAUGGUUUUAUAAGCGGCUUUUCACCCUUUGCUUGGCACUUAUCUCCCCUGCAGCCCUGUGAACAAGGAUGUGUUUGCUUCCACUUCAGCUAUGAUUGUAAGUUUCCUGAGGCCUCACUAGCUGUGAAGAAUUGUAAGUCAAUGAAACCUCUUUACUUUAUAAAUUACUCUGUCUCGGGGAGUUAUUUAUAGCACCAUGAGAACGGACUAAUACAGUGUGAGUACAACGUUAUAGUGUGCUACUGAGACUUUCUCUCCAACUCCAUUCAUUGUCACUAUACUGGACUUAAAGUAACUCAAUAUAGAUCAUUGUGGAUGCAUUUAAGCCAUGGAAUUUAAAAAAUACUAUAAAUAUCAAAACUUGAUUUUCAAUUUUCUGGAAAUAAGAAAAUGAUGGAAAAUGAUAAUAAUGGUAAUUAAACUUAAAGCUGCAUCAUGUCUAUAGCUAUUACAUUGUGAAUAGUAGAAAAAUAUUAGGGCCGGGUGCAGUGCCUCACACCUGUAAUCUCAGCAGUUUGGGAGGCCAAGGUGGGCAGCUCAUGAGGUCAGGAGAUGGAGACCAUCCUGGCUAACACGGUGAAACCCCACCUCUACGAAAAAUAGAAAGAAAAAAAAAAUUAGCCGGGCGUGGUGGUGG
rnacentral:lncRNA from 1 species